UACGUAGGGUGCGAGCGUUAAUCGGAAUUACUGGGCGUAAAGCGUGCGCAGGCGGUUCGUUAAGUUCGUUGUGAAAGCCCCGGGCUCAACCUGGGAACUGCAAUGGAAACUGGCGGGCUUGAAUGCGGCAGAGGGGGGUGGAAUUCCGCGUGUAGCAGUGAAAUGCGUAGAGAUCAUGAGGAAGACCAGUGGCGAAGGCGGGUCUCUGGACAGUUCCUGACACUGAGACACGAAGGCCAGGGGAGCAAACGGG
rnacentral:rRNA from 1 species